AGAGUUUGAUCCUGGCUCAGGACGAACGCUGGCGGCGUUAACACAUGCAAGUCGAGCGGUAAGGCCCUUUCGGGGGUACACGAGCGGCGAACGGGUGAGUAACACGUGGGUGACCUGCCCUCAGCUCUGGGAUAAGCCUGGGAAACCGGGUCUAAUACCGGAUAUGACUCCAUGACGCAUGUUGUGGGGUGGAAAGCCUUGUGCGGCUGGGGAUGGGCCCGCGGCCUAUCAGCUUGUUGGUGGGGUGAUGGCCUACCAAGGCGACGACGGGUAGCCGGCCUGAGAGGGCGACCGGCCACACUGGGACUGAGACACGGCCCAGACUCCUACGGGAGGCAGCAGUGGGGAAUCUUGCGCAAUGGGCGAAAGCCUGACGCAGCGACGCCGCGUGAGGGAUGACGGCCUUCGGGUUGUAAACCUCUUUCAGCUCCGACGAAGCGAAAGUGACGGUAGGAGCAGAAGAAGCACCGGCCAACUACGUGCCAGCAGCCGCGGUAAUACGUAGGGUGCAAGCGUUGUCCGGAAUUAUUGGGCGUAAAGAGCUCGUAGGCGGUCUGUCGCGUCGGCUGUGAAAACUUGGGGGCUCAACUCCGAGCUUGCAGUCGAUACGGGCAGGCUAGAGUUCGGCAGGGGAGACUGGAAUUCCUGGUGUAGCGGUGAAAUGCGCGAUAUCAGGAGGAACACCGGUGGCGAAGGCGGGUCUCUGGGCCGAUACUGACGCUGAGGAGCGAAAGCGUGGGGAGCGAACAGGAUUAGAUACCCUAGUAGUCC
rnacentral:rRNA from 1 species